rnacentral:rRNA from 1 species
AUUGAACGCUGGCGGCAUGCCUUACACAUGCAAGUCGAACGGCAGCACGGGUGCUUGCACCUGGUGGCGAGUGGCGAACGGGUGAGUAAUACAUCGGAACGUACCUUAUCGUGGGGGAUAACGCAGCGAAAGCUGUGCUAAUACCGCAUACGCCCUGAGGGGGAAAGCGGGGGAUCGCAAGACCUCGCGCGAUUAGAGCGGCCGAUGCCUGAUUAGCUUGUUGGUGGGGUAAAAGCCCACCAAGGCGACGAUCAGUAGCUGGUCUGAGAGGACGAUCAGCCACACUGGGACUGAGACACGGCCCAGACUCCUACGGGAGGCAGCAGUGGGGAAUUUUGGACAAUGGGGGCAACCCUGAUCCAGCAAUGCCGCGUGAGUGAAGAAGGCCUUCGGGUUGUAAAGCUCUUUUGUCAGGGAAGAAACACCGGCUCUAACACAGUCCGGGAAUGACGGUACCUGAAGAAUAAGCACCGGCUAACUACGCGCCAGCAGCCGCUGUAA